rnacentral:rRNA from 1 species
CGACCGGCGCACGGGUGAGUAACGCGUAUCCAACCUGCCUUACACUCUUGGACAGCCUUCUGAAAGGGAGAUUAAUACAAGAUGUUAUCAUGAGUAAGCAUUUUCACAUGAUUAGAGGUUUACCGGUGUAAGAUGGGGAUGCGUUCCAUUAGAUAGUAGGCGGGGUAACGGCCCACCUAGUCUUCGAUGGAUAGGGGUUCUGAGAGGAAGGUCCCCCACAUUGGAACUGAGACACGGUCCAA